UCAGGAUGAACGCUAGCUACAGGCUUAACACAUGCAAGUCGAGGGGCAGCAUUGGGAUAGCUUGCUAUUCCAGAUGGCGACCGGCGCACGGGUGAGUAACGCGUAUCCAACCUUCCCUAUAGUAGAGAAUAGCCCGGCGAAAGUCGGAUUAAUGCUCUAUGUUGUGUUUUGAGGACAUCUGACGAACACCAAAGGUUCACCGCUAUAGGAUGGGGAUGCGUCUGAUUAGCUUGUUGGCGGGGUAACGGCCCACCAAGGCGACGAUCAGUAGGGGUUCUGAGAGGAAGGUCCCCCACAUUGGUACUGAGACACGGACCAAACUCCUACGGGAGGCAGCAGUGAGGAAUAUUGGUCAAUGGGCGAGAGCCUGAACCAGCCAAGUAGCGUGCAGGACGAACCUGCCCUAUGGGUUGUAAACUGCUUUUAUCAGGGAAUAAAGUGCGGCACGUGUGCCGUUUUGUAUGUACCUGAUGAAUAAGGACCGGCUAAUUCCGUGCCAGCAGCUGC
rnacentral:rRNA from 1 species